ensembl:lncRNA
GUAGAGUUUGACCUGGCUCAUAUGAACAUUCUGUGAUUGUAAGUUUAUAAGAUUUUUGGAAGUUUCAGUGGUCUGUUAGGCGAACCGUAAAUCCGAUCAGUCGAAUAUGUGUUGCACCAACUGAAUUUUUAAACACAAAACUUUCAUUUUUUUAAAUAAACAGACUUAUAUUUUGUUUUUUAUUUAAUUUUUAAAGACAGAGUUAGCCUACUUUAAUCCUGUUGCUCCAGUACUAAACAUUUUAUUUAAAUUUUAGGGCAGUGUUUAAACGGGCAGGCUGCUCUGUCACCAGCAAAGGUGGCCACUCUCUGCAGCGAAUCGCACCUGUUGUUCCCUUCGAUACUUCAUGUGUAACGUAGACUAACCCAGAGCCGUUGAAAAACAGAGUUGCGAGACUGCCAUAGGAACUUUAGAAUGCGGAAGUAACGCGUGUCGUGGAGCAGCCAAUAGUUCCAAACACUGAUAGUUCCAGCGCUGAACUUCACACAUUUUCAAUGUUUCUGAAGUACGCUCGCUGGAGGUGAAAAACAAGUCUAAACCAAGACUUAAACUUAGAUAAAGUAAUUGUCAGUAAUUUAAGUUCCAGCUGUCGAACAGGAUGGAUUAUCGGUGGGGAGUGGAGCAGUGGCCAGGCUGGGGGAGCUUGUGGUUCCUGUAAGCAAUGGAGUGAUGAUGAAGCUGGUUUAAAUUUGAACAGUGGGGUGCUGAAGCUGGUGGGGUGAUGGUGAGGCUAUCAUGGCAUGAAGGAAGCCUGCUGUCCAAGAGCCUACCCUCUCUCUCCAGCAUAUCCAUGGCAUUUGGAUCCAUAAAGGAGCCACUGGUCCUAGUUCGGAACAGCUCCUCAAUUUGCCGGACUAAAUCGAAGGCCUCUUGUGACGGCCGACAAAGUACACCUGGCUUGAACUCUUUCAGCUUCAGUAAAACACUGUGAUUUCCUUCAGGACUGUCAUCAUUGUGCUUAAUUGCACUUUGGCAACCCUCACAAAUCUUGGAAUAUUUAAUCACUUAAUUGAUAUUCACUUGUUGUGCAUGUACAGUACAGGUCAAAAGUUUGGAAACAUUACUAUUUUUAAUGUUUUUGAAAGAAGUCUCUUCUGCUCAUCAAGCCUGCAUUUAUUUGAUCAAAAAUACAGAAAAAACAGUAAUAUUGUGAAAUAUUAUUAC